rnacentral:rRNA from 1 species
UAAAACGACUCUCGGCAACGGAUAUCUCGGCUCUCGCAUCGAUGAAGAACGUAGCGAAAUGCGAUGCUUGGUGUGAAUUGCAGAAUCCCGCGAACCAUCGAGUCUUUGAACGCAAGUUGCGCCCGAAGCCAUUAGGUCGAGGGCACGUCUGCCUGGGCGUCUCAC